AGGACGAACGCUGGCGGCGUGCUUAACACAUGCAAGUCGAGCGGAAAGGCCCUUCGGGGUACUCGAGCGGCGAACGGGUGAGUAACACGUGAGUAAUCUGCCCCUAGCUCUGGGAUAGCUCCGGGAAACCGGGAUUAAUACCAGAUACGACCACUUUAGACAUCUGUUGUGGUGGAAAGAAUUUUGGCUAGGGAUGAGCUCGCGGCCUAUCAGCUUGUUGGUGAGGUAACGGCUCACCAAGGCGACGACGGGUAGCCGGCCUGAGAGGGCGACCGGCCACACUGGGACUGAGACACGGCCCAGACUCCUACGGGAGGCAGCAGUGGGGAAUAUUGCGCAAUGGGCGAAAGCCUGACGCAGCGACGCCGCGUGGGGGAUGAAGGCCUUCGGGUUGUAAACCCUUUCAGCAGGGACGAAGCGAAGUGACGGUACCUGCAGAAGAAGCGCCGGCUAACUACGCGCCAGCAGCCGC
rnacentral:rRNA from 1 species